rnacentral:sRNA from 1 species
UUUCUGUCACUGAAGGCAUGGGGAGUCAGGAUUUUUACCUUCUGGACCAGCCUUCCCCACCACGUGCUGUGGGCCAUCCCUGCAACUUGGACCUAGGGCAGAAGUCUGACCCCUCUAUGUGGUCAAGAUGGAUGAAAGUUGAAGCUACCAUGUGCAAACCAGGCUGAACAGCUGCUGAUUAUAUACAUGCUCUUGGGAAAACUCUUACCCCGGUCCCUGCAGGGUCAGAGGGAUCCCUGCUUGUUCUAGCGCUUGGCUUCCUGGGCCUGACCAGACCAGAUGGAAAGUCUAGGGAAGGACAUCUGGACUCUUCUCGGUCACUGAGCCUCAACUCCACACAUCUUGGGGAUCUGCUGCCCCCAGAGCCAGGCAUCCGAAACCCCACAGUCUGCCUCCAAGCCAAUGAUACCCUGGCCUUCCUGGUGACUCAUGAGCAUUACCCAGAGUAUGACCUGGGCCACUUCUAUAACACACUGGAGCAAUUUGACUGGGGGCGCUUCCGGGCCCUGGCUGAGGAGU